rnacentral:rRNA from 1 species
UACGUAGGGGGCAAGCGUUGUCCGGAAUCAUUGGGCGUAAAGCGCGUGUAGGCGGUUCGGUAGGUCGGCUGUGAAAGUCCAGGGCUCAACCCUGGGAUGCCGGUCGAUACUGCCGGACUAGAGUCGGAAGAGGCGAGUGGAAUUCCCGGUGUAGCGGUGAAAUGCGCAGAUAUCAGGAGGAACACCGGUGGCGAAGGCGGUUCUCUGGGCAUUACCUGAC